GCCAUUCGUGACCCGCCUAACAAGUACCAUGGUCGAUCGGCAUGAAAUGUGCAAGGAUUCUUCCUCCAACGAAUGUGGUGACCCACCAUGACCAUGAAUGACAUUAGUGACCGAGGGCUUCUGAUGAUCUUUGUGGGAGCAAGGGCCGGCGGCGUAUCCACCAUUUCUGGCAUGCUUGUCGACCCUUUUGACUGAAUAUGCUUCUGAACCUCUGCUAGAAAAUCAGUAGGCAUCCCAGAAAGUACUAUCCACGUAGAGAUUAUGGCCUCGUGUGGGCUCUCCCUUCCUCUCGAGGGCAUAGAGAUUUGGGUCGGAUGACCACCUUGGGGCAUCUAGCGACUCAUCAUACCUUGGGUCUUCGAAGUAGUAGAGUCCGGUUUCUUUAUGAAGCACAGCUAGGGAUCGGAGAUAUUUCUUGGCACACGGAUCCAGGAUAUUACUGAAGGGUGUCGGUUGACGUUGUGAAGAAAACAUAGCAUCAUGCUUAUCCCAGAUUUGCUGCUUCCCUUCAUAACCACGGGUGCCUAGAUUGUGAUUCCCUACCAUUUGGCUUCGGAGCUGCAUAGACUUCUCUUUGUCCUGUUUGUAUGCAUCGGUACUGCUAGGAUAUAUAUUUUGGAUAUACUAUAUAGGCAUUUAAUAUAGUCUUGGUAAUCAAGGUACUCCUUCCGGUCCUCAUUGGUACUACCAGGAUAUAGUUUUUGGAUAAACUCUAAAUCAUGCCCGUCGUCAAGUAGUUUUUUGCACGGUAUCUAUUACUAUUCAAGGCCUUACUGAACACACGCAUGGCAUGGAUUUCUGCAAGUGCAUUGUCUCGGUCGUUGAACUUGAAAAUAUCUCCCAUCUUUGCUAACAGGAGCUUUCACUAUUGCUUGUUUUUAGGGCCCCUUAAGCAUCUAACGUUGAUGUCACAGUUUCCACGGGUGAUGGCAGCUAGGACGUUACCCCAUUUUGUUGCGUUCUUGAUCGGACUAACGGGUCUCCCCACUUUGUUAAUCCGUUUUAUUAUGUAAGUAGAUGUAGGCACCUUAUUCUGUGAUCUACGCUUUCGCAGCUGAAUUUCCAAAUCAUCUUGUGCACCA